rnacentral:rRNA from 1 species
UAAGGAAUAUUGGUCAAUGGACGCAAGUCUGAACCAGCCAUGCCGCGUGAAGGAUGAAGGUCCUCUGGAUUGUAAACUUCUUUUAUAGGGGGCGAAAAAAGGGAAAUCUUUCUCACUUGACAGUACCCUAUGAAUAAGCACCGGCUAACUCCGUGCCAGCAGCCGCGGUAAUACGGAGGGUGCAAGCGUUAUCCGGAUUCACUGGGUUUAAAGGGCGCGUAGGCGGGCGUAUAAGUCAGUGGUGAAGUCCUGGAGCUUAACUCCAGAACUGCCAUUGAUACUAUAUGUCUUGAAUAUGGUGGAGGUAAGCGGAAUAUGUCAUGUAGCGGUGAAAUGCAUAGAUAUGACAUAGAACACCUAUUGCGAAGGCAGCUUACUACGCCUAUAUUGACGCUGAGGCACGAAAGCGUGGGGAUCAAACAGGAUUAGAUACCCUGGUAGUCCACGCCCUAAACGAUGAUUACUCGACGUGUGCGAUAAACGGUACGCGUCUGAGCGAAAGCAUUAAGUAAUCCACCUGGGGAAGUACGACCGCAAGGUUGGAACUCAAAUGAAUUGACGGGGUCAUAGCU